AUUGAACGCUAGCGGGAUGCCUUACACAUGCAAGUCGAACGGAGUGGCGAACGGGUGCGUAAUGUAUCGGAACGUGCCCAGUAGCGGGGGAUAACUACGCGAAAGCGUAGCUAAUACCGCAUACUAUUGGAGCGGCCGAUAUCGGAUUAGCUAGUUGGGGGGGUAACGGCUCACCAAGGCGACGAUCCGUAGCUGGUUUGAGAGGACGACCAGCCACAGUGGGACUGAGACACGGCCCGGACUCCUACGGGAGGCAGCAGGGGGGAAUUUUGGACAAGGGGGGAAGCCCGGAGCCGGCCAUCCCGCGUGGGCGAUGAAGGCCUUCGGGUUGUAAAGCACUUUUGGCAGGAAAGCGGGACCUGCAGAAGAAGAACCGGCUAACUACGUGACAGCAGCCGCGGUAAUAC
rnacentral:rRNA from 1 species